ACGUCUUUUUCCCGCUUUUUUCUGAAUUACUGGGCGUAAAGCGCACGUGGGCGGCUAACCAAGUUGGGGGUGAAAGCCCAGGGCUUAACCCUGGAACUGCCUUCAAGACUGGUUGGCUAGAGGCCGAGAGAGGUAAGGGGAAUUCCUAGUGUAGAGGUGAAAUUCGUAGAUAUUAGGAAGAACACCGGUGGCGAAGGCGCCUUACUGGCUCGGAACUGACGCUGAGGUGCGAAAGCGUGGGGAUCAAACAG
rnacentral:rRNA from 1 species